CCCUGACAUGCUGACAGAGGAAGGAGGUCAGGGGCUAAUGGAACUUGCGAGCAGAGUAGGUUUUCGGCUGCAGGCCCUGUGCAGCCGCACGGGAGCAGAUGGGGAACGGGGAUUUGGUUUGUAAUUGAGAAGGUUCCGAUGGGUAGGAAAUGAAGGGCUCAGCCCAUCGCAUUUGACACAAAAAUCCUUCCUGGAGGCCCGGAGGGGGCUUUUUAUGAUGAUGAUUGUUUUAAUCCUACAUCCUUCCCGCGGUAAGCUCUUGAGCGCAGCCUAGGCGAGUGGGGAAGCCGGGGGAUUGCGGCAUGCCAGUCUGCAGCAGGCACGGUGCCAUCAGCUGGGCUGUUCCAGCAGCAGCUGUGGGGCUAGUCCUGUGGGUCGGGCCCGCUGACCCCCAGUGACCGUCCACCUUUCUGUGCACAAGAGCUCUCUUCUCCCUCCCCCCGCCCCCAGGUGCAUCUGAUUAGCAAUCUCCGGAGGGUGUCGCUGGGAAAGUGUCGCUGUAUUAGAGGAGUAUCUUCUACUGUCCACUCACACCCGUACGGGUGGAUCUGGGCGUUGCAAAGUGGAAACAGAGAACUGGGGGCGAGGGUGGAGUCUUUCCCCGUCCCCUGGAUCUCGAAUGCUUAAGAUCACUUGAUUGUCGGCCCAGUUGGGAACUGACCAAACGCGGUUUCCGCCUGACGGGUAAGUGCUUACAUGUCCUGACGUAAGCUAUUCUUGAGAACGGUCUCCGUAUGACAGGAGCCUGCCUUCACGACUGACUCAUGCUGCUUCGUAGGUAGCCUUCGAAUCCAGUGGUCAGACACCCCCAUGAUCCUGUCACUCCUACAGGCGAUCCCUUUGGAACAGGGUGUUGGGAGCUUGCCCUGCAUGCAAUGUACCUGUUCUCGAAGUUAAACAGAGUUCAGGGCUGGUGUUCUGUGGGAAGUGAAUGUUUAAGGUCACUGAAAGGAAACAGCAGCACUGUCAGCUUGAAAUCUUGUCAAGUCCUGCUGUAGCCCCCACUGCCACAUGUUAUGAUUGGUUAAUAAUCACACCUCCCAGUUUCUCACACCCCACACCCUACCGCAUGAGACUCCCAAAAAGGGAGGGAGUGACAUAAACAGUCUGACCAAACAGGGUAAAAAGUGAAAGUGACUUCAGAAUGUCCUGACAAAAGCACAAAGCAGAGAAAAAAUAGAGAAUGAUAUUUCUCUUUAAUCUCUUGUUAUAAGUAGCCUUGGAAGGGUUAGAUUUGUAUUGAUAAAUGUUAAAAUGUCAAUUUUUAUCUCUCUCUCUCUCUCAUUGACAACAAUUAAAAUUUACAGAUGGGCAAAGUAACACAGCAUGCAGCUUGAGAAAUUAUUAAUGGGAUUCCAGGGUGUUUACUUUGCAUAUUUGAAUGUCAUGUUGACAGUUUGUAUUUUCACAGUUAUAAAGCUUUAACUUUUUGAAUCCACAUCUGUUGUCUUUCAGUAAUUGUCUGCCCUGCACUUUCCCACAGGUCUGACAAUUUAAACUGAUAAAAGUAAAAACAAAGCUGAAAACCCAUAAUUUUAUGCUAGUGAGAACAUUUUGUAUAGAUAAAACUCUUUUAAAGAUCCUUUAAAAUCAACAUCUGUCAAAAUGAUCAAACAAAUACAGUUGAAUUCCAGCAAGCCUUGUUACAAUGGAGAGGUCACUUGUAACGUAACAUUUCUUACAACUGCACGUAAACCAGUGGCUGACCGAAGUGAUGGUUUUUAAAGUCGAUAUCCCUUUAAAUAAAGGAACGGCGCAGUGGCUUGUGUGGGUGGAUCUUCCGGAGUUUCCAGGGACUGCUCGCAUUGAGGGGCCUGGCAAUCCAAACCCAGCCCCCUUGCACUUACAUCCCGCCCCAUUUCAAGUUCAUAAGGGCCUGAUCCGGUGGCCGUCCAAGCCAAUGAGUCUCCGCUGUGGCUUCAACAGGUGGGGAAGGGAGAGUAAAUAGGAGCAGCUGUCUCCACAGAGAUCUGUGUGCUCGGGGACUGCAGCUUCCUUGGCUCACAAUCCCCACAGUGCCUGGAAAGGAGUUGGCCGGGCCGUGACCUUGGGCGUGCUCUUCAACAGCAGAAGGGAGAUCUGGGGUCUGAUCCAACACGUGCUGAAGCCAGACGCUCAUUCUCGCCUCUAGGCAUCGGAUCAGGUCUUUCGGGCUCUGCAUUGAGCUAGGUGGGGCCCAGGCUGGAAGUGAGCUGUCGUAAAGGAAAGCGGCGAAUUGCAUUGCCCAAGCAGUAACCUUUGAGCUCCUAGUGCUCUGGCAGGACAGUCGUUCCUCCUGGCCAUUGGUUCAAUGCUGGAUGAAGAAACACCGCAAUUAGUUCAUUCUAAAGGUUAAUUGCCUGUACUCUGCAGUGAUCCUCAGGGACGUACGGACCCCCGCGGGAUCGGGACCGCACCCACGGCGCUGGAUAUUGACCGAUCUCCUUGGCACCAGCUUUCUCAUCCGACUUCCCCUCCAGAGAGCCUGGGCGUGCGUAGCGGGCUGGGCGCGUGUGCUAAGGGACACACGGCUUAUCGACAGGCCGUGCUACUGACAGAGCACAAGUUGAGCUAGAGGGUUCCACUGCCGUGCCCUGGAUGGGGGAUCUUUGUAACAAAGGGGUAGGUGGUGGCAUUGUAUAUUAAGCAGACAGAGUUCUUUAUAAAGAGCUUUUAGUAUUUAAUGUCUAGGUGUAACCCUAUCUCGGAUGCUGACCCUGCCUGGAGAGCUUAGGGGUAAUGGCAAGAUUUAGAGCUUAGAGAGUUGAUCGUACUAACGGGGCAUUUGUGUAGAGGCCGUUAGGGCCCCCGGGAGGGAUGUGAUGAUAAAAGGCAGGGCCUUUAGGGCUGCCUGUCUUAAGGAUUCCCUCUCAGCUGCUGCCUCUUGCUGCUUCAGCCACGGGCGAGUCGUGGCACUGGAACGGGUUUCGGGGGGGAUCCGUGGAAAGGGUGCGAGUCCCAUCGCAGGCUGGUGUAAAUGUAUUUCUGCCCAAUCCCCCGUAGUCUUUCACCCUGCCGUCAGGGGCUCUGGGACUGCCGCCUGGUCUGCCCGCUGGUCCCCUUCGUUGGACCAAUAUUAUUUCCUUCCUUUUAACUCCUGCAGAUUCCUGCCUCACCUCCUCCCCCCACCACAAACGCUCUCCCUCUUGCUCUGCAGACCACGUGCUCCCCGUUCCUUUGGGCCAUACGUCUUCCUUUCCCCAGCGCAGCCUUGUCUAGGAUGUCUCUUACAAUGACCCUGUCUGUGUGCAGCCGCUGAUGUGCAGCAGCUCUUGGCUCUGUCUACAACCUGAGGGAAGGGACGGGGGAGGGAUGUACAAAUAUAGCCGGCCUCCCGCGGACUCCAGCGGCCUGAGCUCCUCUUGUCAGGGGCAUGGUGUCUUUCCAGGAAUCAGCGACCGUGGACAGCACUCAGCACCUUGCAUGAUCAGGGCCCUUAGGAUCUAUGGAGGAAAAUCUCUUAGAGCCUGAUCCAAAUCAAGGCACUUGCAUUGACUUCAGGGGGUUUUGGAUUGGGCCCCUAAUUCAAGUAUUGACUACUAGGCACCUUUAACGCUGGUAAAAGCUCUCCCCUCUCCCUCCCCCCGGGACUGAAAUCUAUUGACUAGGCUUUCAUACAUUGUUUAAUUAUUCAGGGCUCUGGGUUUUUUUUUAAUUGGAUCCCAAUCUGACUGUUAUAUAGACGCAGCAGCAGCUUGUCGGUGUGAGAAAUCCAUACACCUAAGAUUGCAGCUGAGUGGGUGGAAGAUUUCUCGUGGGUGCUGGGGUCUGAUAGCUGAGAGUGGAGGCAGAUGUGCCAGGCUGUCCAGAACACACACCGGGUGCCAGAUGGAUCAGGAUUAGAGUUGGGAGAAGAAACUUUUUUUUUCCUCCCCAGGCACAAAUGCAGAUGUGGCAGUGCAGAUUGUUUCUUGCACGUGUGCUGAUUCUGCCAAAUUGUUUUGGCCUUUAAAAAAGGAGGGAAUGGGUUUGAAAUCUUGAAUUCCAGUCUGUCGGUGUGAUUAAAACCGGGUACAAAUCCAAAUAGAAUGUUUUGAUUUUUGUCAACACAAACUGUCAUUUGCCUUGGAACAAUUUUUUGUUGACUUCCCCAGAAGGGCCAGUCAGCCGAAAAAAAUCUAUUUGCCCAGCUCUAGUGCUGACUUUAGUCCAAGGGUGGACAAAUACUGGCCAUGGGCCACAUCUGAUUCCCCAGCGUUAGCCCCUGGCAGGCCACCGCUGCUAUAUUUAUCUGCAUCUCUGCAGGUAUGGGCAAUUGCAGCUCCUGUUGGCUGUGGAUCGCUGUUCCUGGCCAAUAGGAGCCGUGUCCCUGUCCACAUGACUAACCCUGAUGAAUUGCUGCUGUUUUAUUCCCCUCCUCCCCCCCUCGCAGACUUAUACUACACAUGUGCCUUCAUCAACAGAUCUGUCAGCUCCCAGCUCUGAUAUCUCAAAUCAGUCCAUCCCCUCCUGGUUUUGAAGGAGAAUUUUACUGUGUUCAUCUUGUUUCCUGCCCAAUCUCUUCCUGUAAUACGGUGUCUCUAAUCAGCAUUGUCUCGGUCUGUAGCAGCUGUCCUGAAGUGACUGGGCAGAAGUUAAGCAAGCUAGGAGACCAGAAAGGGUUAUUCCGACGCUAAGAGCAUUGGUCCUAGUUCUGUGCACUGUAUUGUCUCCAGGCAAAUACGCCAGCUUGAAUUUAUCCUAAUUUCCAUGUCCUUUAUUUCAACUUUUUCUCUCUAGAUCCUGAACUAUCCCACACCCAUUCUCCCUUGUCCACUGGGGGCUAGAUGAGGGAGUCAUUUGCUGUGGGGCAAAUGGCGCAGUUACCCCUCUCAGACCUUAUCUGCCCCUGUGCUCCUGACUUUUCAUAGGUCUGUGUGUUCCAUUUCCCCCUCCCCCACACCUUUGCAGGACACGAUAUAGUGACGUACAACAUGUAUGUCAGACUACAUGGUGGUCCUCAUGUUUCCCCUCCCUCCCCCCCCCCACCGAAUGCUGCAGGCCUGAGCCUCACUCAUGCACAUGACAAAAUUGGAUUGAGAUCCUAAUUCCCAUGCCCAUACACCUGGCUACUGAAUUGCUCAGCUCUGGCCCCUCUGCUGGGUUGGAUUAGUUGAUCAACACCUCUCUAGCACUGGCUCUUUCUGCUUGGAGCGGCUUUUGGUCCCAAGCCUGCCUGAGACCCUGAUCACAUUACGCCCUGUCUUCAUGGAGGAAUUCACACUGGUGAAGCUUAAUCGAGUCACGUUCCUGAAAAGAUGUGCCACUAUAAACCCUGGUUUGCAUCCGAACCACCCGAGGGCCUUCUAGAGCUGUAACUGUGAUGUGAGAUCAGGGUGAAUAUCCUUAAUAUUGGGCCUUUGGGAGACUCCUGUUAGAAGGGGCUGAUCCUUUCCUCCCUGUGACAAUCGUAAAUAUCACUGGACCCUGAAACCCCCAAUGUUAUUUUGUACCGAACUGGGGCUUAUGUCCCUAUGAACUGACUGGAACCUCAUCUCUCGUUUCUGGAUUAUGAUUUUUCUUUCGGUUGUUUGUAGAAGGCUGUAGCUACGCACGAGCUUCUCCGAGCUGCAGGAAUCGCCUUUGGCUCUGUGCAACGUUUGUUUUGAAUUUGGGGGGGAGAGCAUGUGACUUGCAGUAGUUGCUGGCCAGGAAGCCACGCUCCGGGAACGGGUCCGGCGCUGCUUGGAGCGUAUCUCAAAGGCAGCUGUGUUGAAUGAGAAUGUAAUUUAUUGUUGGCUUUAUUAAAUAAUUUUCCAAAUA